rnacentral:rRNA from 1 species
UACGUAGGGUGCGAGCGUUAAUCGGAAUUACUGGGCGUAAAGCGUGCGCAGGCGGUUUUGUAAGACAGAUGUGAAAUCCCCGGGCUUAACCUGGGAACUGCAUUUGUGACUGGCAGGCUAGAGUAUGGCAGAGGGGGGUAGAAUUCCACGUGUAGCAGUGAAAUGCGUAGAGAUGUGGAGGAAUACCGAUGGCGAAGGCAGCCCCCUGGGCCAAUACUGACGCUCAUGCACGAAAGCGUGGGGAGCAAACAGG